GACGUAGGAGGCGAGCGUUGUCCGGAUUCAUUGGGCGUAAAGGGCUCGUAGGCGGCCAACUAAGUCAGACGUGAAAUCCCUCAGCUUAACUGGGGAACUGCGUCUGAUACUGGAUGGCUUGGAUUUGGGGAGAGGGGAUGCGGGAAUUCCAGGUGUAGCGGUGAAAUGCGUAGAUAUCAGGAGGAACACCCGUGGCGAAAGCGGCUCUCCUGGGACGGUACUGACGCUGAGACGCGAAAGCGUGGGGGAGC
rnacentral:rRNA from 1 species